CGCAUCUGUGCAUGCAGCAUAUCAAUAAGCGGAGGAAAAGAAACUAACAAGGAUUCCCCUAGUAACGGCGAGUGAAGCGGGAAGAGCUCAAAUUUGAAAUCUUAAAGGGUUUCCCUUUACGAAUUGUAGUUUAAAGAAGUGUUUUCUGUUGAGGUUUUGGUAAAAGUUCUUUGGAAUAGGACAUCAUAGAGGGUGAGAAUCCCGUAUUUGACCAUUACUUUCAGCUGUGUGAUACACUUUCAAAGAGUCGGAUUGUUUGGGAAUGCAGUCCAAAAUGGGUGGUAAAUUUCAUCUAAAGCUAAAUAUUGGCGAGAGACCGAUAGCGAACAAGUACCGUGAGGGAAAGAUGAAAAGAACUUUGAAAAGAGAGUUAAACUAGUACGUGAAAUUGUCAAAAGGGAAGCGUUUGACACCAGUGUUGUUUUUCUGAAAAUCAAUUAAAGAACUGUUUAUGCUAAGUUGUUUAGACUUUAUCAGCUAAUCUGCUUAGUUUUGAGCUUUUCUUUAAUGCACUUUUCAGUUAACAAGUCAACAUCAAUUUCUUUUGCUGUAAAAAAGCUUGAGGAAGGUGGCUUGAGAUUCGUCUUAAGUGUUUAUAGCCUCUUGCCUAUGCAGUCGGAGAGAUUGAGGUCUGCAGCGUAGAUCCUUCGGGGCUAAAUGCAUUUGUGCUAAGUUAUAGCAUUUUAUAGACAACUUGUUGACUAUGAUUUGUCUUGUAGCUUACUCGCUUAUGUUAUUUUACCUACGCUUAGGAUGUUGACGAGACUGUCGAUCUC
rnacentral:rRNA from 1 species